ACAAUCAGCUCCGAUCCUUGCCUGCACGGUGGAUUUAAAAUCAACUGCAAAUUGCUGAAGAAUUGCACUUCAAGUGGUCUCAAGAGACAGGAGAAGCAGGUCUUCACUAUAAUGGAAGAGGCCAAGAGCUCAAAGAAUGGAAAUCAUGACCCAAGGAAGUCUGUCCGUCUUGUCUGUGAGGAAGGCAAAGCAGUCAAAGUUACAAAUAAUCAAAAUUAUAAACAUAAUAGAAAUGACAAAUCCGUGAAGGAUGUUGGGAGAAGUUCUCCAAGUGGGAAUAGCAGCAAAAAAAGUAAACAAAAUGAUGUUUGUUCUGAAAAACAAGGAGAAAAUAAAUCAUGCAAAGUAAAUAGUUGUAUUCCUGGAACUAAAGAUGUGGGAUCAAAUGUUCAGGAUCGAAGUCAUGGAAAAGCAAAAAAAUGUUCUAAUUUAUCAUCAGCAGUGGAAAACCUGAAACAGGCAAAAGCUCAACCAGUGGGAGAAAACUUUCCAGGCUCCCAUGUUUCAGGGAAUGGGGUCGGUAUGGAAAGCUUAACAGCUGCACAGAAAGGGAAACUGGUGUUGGAAAACCCACUGGGAAUUCCUACUUUGAAGACUGGUGUUGAUCAAACUGGUGAUCCUGGUAAGACUGCUUCGGAUCAAAGGAAAAUGGAACAUAAGCCUGAUGACUUCAGUAAAAUAAAGAAUUCUGAAUCAACUAAAGAACAUACUUUGGAAGCUGAUUAUUUAGAAAACACUGCUGUUAUUGACGAAUCUAAUCUGACAGCUGAACAGCAACUAGGAUUGAAACAAGCUGAAGAACGUCUGGAAAGAGAUUAUAUUUCCCGACUUGAAAAACGCUCCCCAGAAUACACCAACUGUCAGUAUCUAUGCAAGCUCUGCUUAGUUCACAUUGAAAAUAUCCAGGGAGCUCACAAGCAUAUUAAAGAAAAGCGUCAUAAGAAAAAUAUAAUGGAAAAACAAGAAGAAAAUGAGCUGCGUGCCCUCCCACCCCCCUCUUCUGCACAGUUGGCUGCUCUGAGUUUUACACUCAUUGAGGCAGCAAAUGAACAAGGCAUAUCAGAUGAUGACUUCAGAAUUCGUCAAGAAAUUGUAAACGAGAUGGAGAAAAUUAUUCAACAGCCCUUACCAGAGUGUUCACUGAGGAUGUAUGGCUCCUGCUUAACUAGAUUUGCUUUUAAGACCAGUGAUGUUAACAUUGAUAUAAAAUUCCCCCCUAAGAUGAGUCAACCAGACGUUCUGAUACAGGUGCUUGAGAUCCUGAAGAACAGCGCUGUCUACUCAGAUGUGGAAUCGGAUUUCCAUGCCAAAGUUCCUGUUGUCUUUUGCAAAGAUGUUAAAAGUGGUUUGACAUGCAAAGUAAGCGCUAGAAACGACGUGGCUUGCCUUACGACUGACCUGCUGGCUGCUCUUGGUAAACUGGAGCCUGUCCUUAUUCCCUUGGUUUUGGCUUUCCGCUACUGGGCUAGACUCUGUCACAUUGACUGUCAGGCUGAAGGUGGGAUUCCCUCAUAUUCCUUUGCCUUAAUGGUGAUAUUUUUCCUUCAACAAAGAAAACCACGUAUUUUACCAUCCUAUUUGGGCAACUGGAUUGAAGGCUUUGAUUCAAAGAGGCCAGAUGACCACCAGCUGAAAGGGAUAGAGGAAGAGGAGUUUGUACGGUGGGAGUACAAGCCACCAACAAAUGGUGCAGCAAAGAACUCAGUUGGAGCAGAGAGUAAAACUAAAGUUGAACAACAGAAAGGUGGUGGUAAAAAGGUAACAAGCUCGGAAGCAGACAACCAAAGUAAUACAAAGGAGAAACACGGCAAGUCUCUCUUAGCAUUCAAAACCCCUCACCAAGUUUCACUGGGGCAACUGUGGUUAGAACUGUUGAAGUUUUACACACUGGAAUUUGCUUUGGAGGAAUAUGUCAUCAGCAUACGGGUACAAGAACUCUUAACCAGAGAGAAUAAAAACUGGCCUAAAAGGCGAAUAGCCAUUGAAGAUCCUUUUGCACUAAAGAGGAAUGUUGCACGAAGUCUAAAUAGCCAGAUGGUAUUUGAGUACAUCCUGGAGCGAUUUAGGACAGCGUAUAAAUAUUUUGCAUGUCCACAAAGUAAAGAUGGGAUUAAAUCCAAGCCAGAUACCAAGAAAAAAGAAAAAGGGAAAAUGAAUAAUAAGAAAUCCACGAGAUCUGAAGAGCCUGUACCCAACUGUUGCCUUCCACAAGGGGAGAAAGCUGUAGAUAAACAAAAUAUAGGAAGUGGAUGUAACAUACCAGAGAAUGAACUUGAAUGUAAUGAGGUGGUAGAAGCAGUAGCCAAAAGAUGUACUUCCAAGAACGUAGACUCUUUGCUACUUUCAACAUUGGACUCUAGUUACGAUGAAGACAAAGAAGAAGCUUCAUCCCUUGUUUCUAAUGAAUGCUGUGAAUUAAAGCAAAAAUCACUUAAAGAGAGGGAUGAUUUAGAAAUUUCAGUUUGCAUAGCUGAAGGUGAGCUAAGCCACCAUUGUAACUGCGGUGAACAUCAGCCCUAUGACGCAAAUUCUAGUAACGAGUUUUCUGAUGCUGAAAGCAGACUGAGUUUGGCAACAGAGUCUUCUCAGAAGAGUAAGUGCACUGGCACACCAGCUACCUCGCCCAACUGCAAAGCAACGGUGGAAGCUCACGAUCUCAAAGAUGAAGGCAGACUCUCUACAGAAGAAAUGCAUUAUGUGUUUGAUAAGUUUAUUUUGACUUCAGGAAAGCCACCAACUAUAGUAUGCAGCAUCUGCAAACGGGAUGGACAUUCCAAAAAUGACUGCCCAGAGGAUUUCAAGAAAAUUGAUCUAAAACCACUACCGCCAAUGACAGACAGAUUUCGGGAAAUACUUGAUAUAGUGUGUAAAAGAUGUUUUGAUGAAUUAUCUCCUCCUUUAUCUGAGCAACAAAACAGAGAACAAAUUCUGGCAAGUUUGGAAAGAUUUAUUCGAAAAGAGUACAAUGACAAAGCCAGACUUUGCUUGUUUGGCUCUUCAAAGAAUGGGUUUGGAUUUCGGGACAGUGAUCUAGAUAUCUGCAUGACGUUGGAAGGCCAUGAAAAUGCAGAGAAAUUAAACUGUAAAGAAAUAAUAGAAGGUUUGGCAAAAGUUCUUAAGAAGCAUCCAGGUUUGAGAAACAUCUUGCCUAUAACCACAGCCAAAGUGCCUAUAGUAAAAUUUGAACACAGACGAAGUGGAUUAGAAGGAGACAUCAGUUUAUACAAUACACUGGCACAGCAUAACACAAGAAUGCUGGCCACAUAUGCAGCUAUUGAUCCUAGAGUGCAGUAUCUGGGCUAUACAAUGAAAGUUUUUGCAAAGCGCUGCGACAUUGGUGAUGCAUCCCGUGGCAGUCUGUCCUCGUAUGCCUAUAUUCUCAUGGUUUUGUACUUUCUACAACAGAGAAAUCCACCUGUUAUUCCAGUUCUUCAGGAGAUAUUUGAUGGAAAACAGAUUCCACAAAGAAUGGUGGAUGGAUGGAAUGCCUUUUUCUUUGAUGACAUGGAAGAAUUGAAGAAACGUCUGCCUUCUCUUGGGAAGAACACUGAAUCACUCGGAGAGCUCUGGCUGGGGUUGCUGCGAUUCUACACUGAAGAAUUUGACUUCAAGGAAUAUGUGAUCAGCAUCCGGCAGAAGAAGCUGUUGACUACAUUUGAGAAACAGUGGACAUCCAAAUGUAUUGCCAUCGAAGAUCCUUUUGACUUGAAUCAUAAUCUCGGUGCUGGAGUCUCUAGGAAAAUGACCAAUUUCAUAAUGAAGGCAUUUAUCAAUGGGAGAAAAUUAUUUGGUACCCCAUUCUACCCAACUGUUGGAAGAGAAGCUGAAUACUUUUUUGACUCAAAAGUGCUGACAGAUGGGGAAUUGGCACCCAAUGACAGAUGUUGUCGUGUCUGUGGAAAAAUUGGUCAUUACAUGAAAGACUGUCCAAAGAGGAGGAGGUUGAAGAAAAAGGAGAAUGAAAAAGAUGAUGAAAAAGAAGUGAAAGAAGAUGAUAGAGAAACAAGAGAGAAAAGGUGUUUCAUCUGUGGGGAUGUGGGUCACGUUAGAAGAGAUUGUCCUGAAUUCAAACAAACCCGUCAGAGAAAUAAUAGUGUGCCAGGCACCCAGUUGGUCCGGAGCAUGGUAAAUUCACAGCUGGUGGCUGUGAGUCAGCAGCAGGUGGAACGACCCUUGCGCACUAGGCAGUCAUCAGAAUGUUCUGAUUCGCAUCAGUCAUCUUACUCUCCACAACCUCAACAAUUUACACAGAAUUCCUCUCAGCCAGCCUCCAUUAACCAGACUCAGCCACAACCAAUAUCCCAGUCUAAGCACGUUCCGCAACCGCAGCAGGGUGCGCAGCCACCCCAUCAGGUCCAGCUGCCUUUGUUUAACUUUCCCCAAUCUCCCCCAGGUCAGUAUUCCACCUUGCAUAACCUGGGACUACUUCAGAUGCACCAUCACCACCAAAUUCAGCUUCCCAACACUUCUUGGCCUAUUCACGGGCCCGUUAUUCACUCUGCACCGGGUAACCCUCCUCAUUCUACAAAUGUUCCAUUUUCUAUGAGAUCUGGCAGCAGCAGCACCGCAAAUAACCAGAGCAGUGUAAGCUUGAAUGAUCCCAGUAUCAUCUUUGCACAGCCUGCUGCCAGGCCCAUGGGAAUCCCCAGCACUUCUCAUGAGGGACACUGGCACAAUCCCGUGACUCCAAACUCACUGGUGAACAAUGGCACUGUGGGGAAUUCAGGUAACUCUUCUCUGUUGUAUCAAACCUCUCGCACUUUGUGUACAAACGUUAAGUGUUAUAGGAACAGCUAACUCUUUGAACUCGUUUUACAUUAAAAAAUACGAUGCUUAAGAAACUGAAGUCAUUACUUCCACUGUCUUAAUGUUUUCAUAGGAAAAAAAAAAUAAAAAUAGGGGAGUUGGAUUGUUGUAACUUUCAGACAUCGGUCCUGUCUGCUGUUACCAGCUGUGCAACACAUGAGAAAUCAUGCAUUCAAUUGAGAAAUGUUCCAAUAAUUGUGUGAGUCUAAUGCACAUUUCUGUGAAUAUGCUUCCAAAUACAGUUUCAAUUUAUGUUAUGUAGUUUUUUAGAUGAGUACUGAGACUGCAACUGCAAGCUUAGAGACUGGCAGAAUUAUGGUUGUGCAACCUGAAUAUUGCCCACUUGCAUUUAGCACGAUAUGACAUGAUCUUAUGCAUUCUUUUUUCCUAUAGUUUAUCCUGCCAUGUUUACCUUCCUUAAUCUCGAUGUUAUUCCCUGAAAAUAACUCAUAUACAUUCUCUCUGCAACAAUUGGGCAACAGCCUUCUGUGUCCUACCAAAGCUGAGGACGUUUGUAUGUUUGAGGCUGAGAGAAGCAGUGUAGUAAUUAAAGCCCAUACAAUUUUUCUGUGCAACAUAAAACAUGGCCGCCCCUACAUUUUAAUUGUGAUCUUCUAAAUUGUGAUAAUUGUCUUUUUAUUUAUUCUGAGUGUGUAACUCUUACAUUUAAAAAAAUCUGUCAUACAAUAUGCUGGUGCAGUUGUGCAUCACGAGGUGGAAAUUUUGUAUCUCCUGCACAGCCUUUCUCUGCACUAAUAUAAGGCGAUUGACAGCAACAGUAGAUUUUCAGCUGAACCAACAGUGUUGGAUGAGGUAUAAUUCCCCAGUGAGUUUCAGAUAGUUGUUGAGGUGCUGAAGAUGCCUGUUUCUCUAUUCAGAGCUUUGUGGGGAGUGUAUUUUAGAGGAUCCAGAAACUGCUACCAUUGUGCUCUCUGUGCCUUCAGUGUGUUUUGUCCCUGCCUCUCUGUUUCUGAUCUUAAAUCUCUGUCUGGGCUUGUCUGUCCUCUCCUCCAUGUCCACAUCAGCUCUGACUUUUUCUCAAGCAGCUCCUUCCAUUCCAAUUCAUCUUACCCAGGAAGCUGCCUUCUUUCAGACAAGCUCCCCGCAUCCUUGUUUCUGUUCCAUUCUCCCUUAAUGAGUCCUGUUUCUUAUCCUGGAGUCACUCGGCCCCUGUCUUCAGUCCUUUUCCUUUUGCUCUCGGUGUGUUUGCUUCCACUCUCAUCAUGCCUGCACAGGUUUCCCAGUUUUCUUGUGCUGUCAGUCAUGGUAUUAUUUUCCCUUCCCUCAACUUCCAUCUAUUUCCAGUCUCAUCACACUCCUUUUUUUUUUUACUUUCCAAUCCUGGUAUUUUUCCUCUUUGUAUUUUAAUCACUUUUGUUUCCUUUUUGGCUGAGAUGCCAUUGAGGUGGGGUCUACAGGUAGGUGCACAGUAGGGAUGAACUGUCUGCUCUCUGUUGGACGUCUGCUUUCUUUCUUGCUUGGGACAAUUUGGGAGCAGUAAGUUAAUGGAAGCUUUGUCUUGGCUCACAUAACUUUUGAGUUGGAAGGAGCAAUUUUACUGUCUUUGCAGUAGGCAAUUGAUCAGAAGAAGGAUCAUUAGAAGUUUCAGACAAACAACUUCUUUUUCAUGCUUAGUCCAGAGCCAUGCUUCGUGUUUCACUGUGUAAAAGUUACUGUUGUUUUUAAAUAUAUAGCUUGCUUUUAUUUAAUGAAAAUCUGUCUGCAAGUUUGGGUUUUUUUAUGAUGAGCCUGAAGGGGAACUGAAAUAUUGAGGAGAGUUACUUAAAUUUAUUUACUUAUUUUUACAUGUACAUUGCAUAAGUUGUUAAAUUAAGCAGACAGUGCUGUGUCUUAUAAAAUUGGGAACUACAAAAAAAAAAAAGAGAGCAGAAAUAGUAA